AGCGAACGCUGGCGGCAGGCCUAACACAUGCAAGUCGAACGAAGUCUUCGGACUUAGUGGCGGACGGGUGAGUAACAAGUGGGAACGUGCCCUUAGGUUCGGAAUAACUCAGGGAAACUUGUGCUAAUACCGAAUGUGCCCUUCGGGGGAAAGAUUUAUAGCCUUUAGAGCGGCCCGCGUCUGAUUAGCUAGUUGGUGAGGUAAAGGCUCACCAAGGCUACGAUCAGUAGCUGGUCUGAGAGGAUGACCAGCCACAGUGGGACUGAGACACGGCCCAAACUCCUACGGGAGGCAGCAGUGGGGAAUCUUGCGCAAUGGGCGAAAGCCUGACGCAGCCAUGCCGCGUGGAUGAUGAAGGUCUUAGGAUUGUAAAAUCCUUUCACCGGUGAAGAUAAUGACUGUAGCCGGAGAAGAAGCCCCGGCUAACUUCGUGCCAGCAGCCGCGGUAAUAC
rnacentral:rRNA from 1 species